rnacentral:lncRNA from 1 species
UGACCUUUUCAGAGACACGUAUGUGGUCGAAUAUCACCCGGGCCCUUCAGAUGACACGGUGUUUGCCAUUACGAACAAUGACAAGAAGCACCCUACGUUAGUCAAAUUUGACUACACCAAUAACAAGAACUGUGUUGUUGCCAACUUUCCGUACAAGGGCGAAGUGUGCAUACUGUGGGUGCCCAAAGCGUAUGUAUCGUCAUAUCCACAAGAAUGCGUCGAUCAUUUUGAAGACAUUUGCGACGCCGAAGUUCCCGUGUACCAAGAGGGUCUAUGUAACGAGGCUCGGAGCGGUUAAUAAAACCAUACGAACUUAGUGGAUGCGC